rnacentral:miRNA from 1 species
CGGCCAGGACUCAAGCAUUUCG